rnacentral:rRNA from 1 species
AGAGUUUUAUCCUGGCUCAGGACGAACGCUGGCGGCGCGCCUAACACAUGCAAGUCGAACGGAGCUUAGAGAGCUUGCUUUUUAAGCUUAGUGGCGAACGGGUGAGUAACGCGUGAGUAACCUGCCCUAGAGUGGGGGACAACAGUUGGAAACGACUGCUAAUACCGCAUAAGCCCACGGUACCGCAUGGUACUGAGGGAAAAGGAUUUAUUCGCUUUAGGAUGGCCUCGCGUCCGAUUAGCUAGUUGGUGAGGUAAUGGCCCACCAAGGCGACGAUCGGUAGCCGGACUGAGAGGUUGAACGGCCACAUUGGGACUGAGACACGGCCCAGACUCCUACGGGAGGCAGCAGUGGGGGAUAUUGCACAAUGGGGGAAACCCUGAUGCAGCGACGCCGCGUGGAGGAAGAAGGUUUUCGGAUUGUAAACUCCUGUCGUUAGGGACGAUAAUGACGGUACCUAACAAGAAAGCACCGGCUAACUACGUGCCAGCAGCCGCGGUAAAACGUAGGGUGCAAGCGUUGUCCGGAAUUACUGGGUGUAAAGGGAGCGCAGGCGGGAAGACAAGUUGGAAGUGAAAACCAUGGGCUCAACCCAUGAAUUGCUUUCAAAACUGUUUUUCUUGAGUAGUGCAGAGGUAGAUGGAAUUCCCGGUGUAGCGGUGGAAUGCGUAGAUAUCGGGAGGAACACCAGUGGCGAAGGCGGUCUACUGGGCACCAACUGACGCUGAGGCUCGAAAGCAUGGGUAGCAAACAGGAUUAGAUACCCUGGUAGUCCAUGCCGUAAACGAUGAUUACUAGGUGUUGGGGGAUUGACCCCCUCAGUGCCGCAGUUAACACAAUAAGUAAUCCACCUGGGGAGUACGACCGCAAGGUUGAAACUCAAAGGAAUUGACGGGGGCCCGCACAAGCAGUGGAGUAUGUGGUUUAAUUCGAAGCAACGCGAAGAACCUUACCAAGUCUUGACAUCCUUCUGACCGGUACUUAACCGUACUUUCUCUUCGGAGCAGGAGUGACAGGUGGUGCAUGGUUGUCGUCAGCUCGUGUCGUGAGAUGUUGGGUUAAGUCCCGCAACGAGCGCAACCCUUAUCUUUAGUAGCCAGCGGUCCGGCCGGGCACUCUAGAGAGACUGCCAGGGAUAACCUGGAGGAAGGCGGGGAUGACGUCAAAUCAUCAUGCCCCUUAUGACUUGGGCUACACACGUGCUACAAUGGCGUAAACAAAGGGAAGCAAAGCUGUGAAGCCGAGCAAAUCUCAAAAAUAACGUCUCAGUUCGGACUGUAGUCUGCAACCCGACUACACGAAGCUGGAAUCGCUAGUAAUCGCAGAUCAGAAUGCUGCGGUGAAUACAAACCCGGGUCUUGUACACACCGCCCGUCA